CUAUACCUACUACAGUUAACUCUCGUUGUCUCGAACUCGGUUGACUCGAAAUUUCGGAUGAGUCGAAGUUUUCACGUGGUCCCGAACUUUAUUCCAUACAAAAGUAUGUAAUUCGACUCCUGAUGAGUCGAAAUUGGAUGAGUCGAAAUUUCGGUUGAGUCGAACUAAAUUAACGGUCCCAAGGUUAACAAAAGCAUUCAAAAUUCAUUUUUAUCUCGAACUAAUACACAUAUGUCAAAACAUGACCUCCGGGAUUUAAAUGGAUUGAAUAGUUAAUCUGACAAUACACGUGUAAUUAAAUGUCCAGUCACUGACCACUGUAUUGAUUUAUGACAUGCAAUUUCCAUGAGUGUUUACUUAAGAUUAUCUUUUAAAGAAUUUUGACAAAUAAUUAGUGAUACAUUGUUAAUGUUCAUGAAAAGGUAUUUAAAAUGUUUACAAAACAAUUAAUUUGUGAUUUACACUAUAAAUGAGCUUGGAUGUGUAUAAAGUGAGGAUUAUGGCUUCCGUUGAUGAUCACCUAAAAACUACUCAAACGGCGUCUUUAAUCUUGUUAUAUUUUCUUUUGAAAAGAAAGAGUGAGAUAAAACAAAAUGAAUAGAAAUCAAAAUUUUCUUAAAUCUCUUGUAUCCGAUAAUAAACAAUUUUGUCAGCUAUAACCGACCUGAAUAACGAAACUAUCGAUUGGAAAUUACUAUAUUGGAAAAGCCAUAGGAUUUUUUUUUUUAAUUAAAAGAAUUGAAUAAAUAAAAAAAAAAUCAUCAUAAUAAUAAAAGACUGUGACAUACAAAUAUAUCGAUCUGAUACUAGAAUAUCGAUCCCCUUGACAUAUUUACCCGGAUUUAUUUUAGCUUUACCAAGCUAAGCAAGAGUUGUGUCCCUUAGAUUGUCGAACUUCCGGUGUUCGUUUGAGUCGAACUACGUGUAUCUCGAAAUAUUUCUCUGGUCCGGCUGACUUCGACAUAACGAGAGUCGACUGGAAUC
rnacentral:lncRNA from 1 species